rnacentral:rRNA from 1 species
GAUGAACGCUGGCGGCGUGCUUAACACAUGCAAGUCGAACGAUGAAGCCCAGCUUGCUGGGUGGAUUAGUGGCGAACGGGUGAGUAACACGUGAGUAACCUGCCCUUAACUCUGGGAUAAGCCUGGGAAACUGGGUCUAAUACCGGAUAGGAGCGCCUACCGCAUGGUGGGUGUUGGAAAGAUUUAUCGGUUUUGGAUGGACUCGCGGCCUAUCAGCUUGUUGGUGAGGUAAUGGCUCACCAAGGCGACGACGGGUAGCCGGCCUGAGAGGGUGACCGGCCACACUGGGACUGAGACACGGCCCAGACUCCUACGGGAGGCAGCAGUGGGGAAUAUUGCACAAUGGGCGAAAGCCUGAUGCAGCGACGCCGCGUGAGGGAUGACGGCCUUCGGGUUGUAAACCUCUUUCAGUAGGGAAGAAGCGAAAGUGACGGUACCUGCAGAAGAAGCACCGGCUAACGACGUGC